CCUACGGGGUGCUGCAGUGGGGAAUAUUGGACAAUGGGCGAAAGCCUGAUCCAGCCAUGCCGCGUGUGUGAAGAAGGCCUUCGGGUUGUAAAGCACUUUCAGUGGGGAAGAAAGCCUUGGGGCUAAUACCCUCGAGGAAGGACAUCACCCACAGAAGAAGCACCGGCUAACUCCGUGCCAGCAGCCACGGUAAUACGGAGGGUGUGAGCGUUAAUCGGAAUUACUGGGCGUAAAGCGCGCGUAGGCGGUCUGAUAAGCCGGUUGUGAAAGCCCCGGGCUCAACCUGGGAACGGCAUCCGGAACUGUCAGGCUAGAGUGCAGGAGAGGAAGGUAGAAUUCCCGGUGUAGCGGUGAAAUGCGUAGAGAUCGGGAGGAAUACCAGUGGCGAAGGCGGCCUUCUGGACUGACACUGACGCUGAGGUGCGAAAGCGUGGGUAGCAAACAGGAUUAGAUACCCGAGUAGUC
rnacentral:rRNA from 1 species